CACUUUCAACGACCUAUACUUCUUUAAUAAUUAAAGCAUUUCUUGAAGUUGCAAAAAGAUGUUAAUUUAUUAAUUAGUUAAUUGCCCACUUGGAGAUUAAUUAAUUAUUGUCUUUAGUCAUCAUCAUUGUUCAGAUUAUUAUCAUGCGAUCAUGAUAGGUUAGUUGCUUCAAAUUUACUAGGGAAAAAGAAAAAGAUAAGGCAAGAUUGGAUGGGCCAAAAUACAUGAAUCCAAAAGCAUCUUCAGUUACUUAGGAUCUAAGUUACAAGAAGGAGAAAUGAAGAAGAGGCCAAAAACACAUGAACAAAGUGAAAAUAAUUCUAAUAUACCGUAAAGAAAAAGAAAAUUACAUAUUGAAUAUCAAGGAAUUAUAACAGAGAGAUGAAAGAAACCUCAAAACUCCAUUAUCUUUUCCCAAUCUAUACCCAAGAAUGAGUCUUGUCAAAGAUCCUGGAAGGGACUGCAAACCUAGCGGAGAAAGAGCGAGACAUGUUAUCAGGAUCAGACCACAUUGAGCCUUGAUCGAAAUUCUGAGAGUAGGUAUAAGGAUCAUAAGAGAAAUGCAUCCGACCACUGGCAGAAGAGCAAUCAAAAAAUUUCUUCUUUUCCCUCAUUAUUUUCCUCCACAACAACCUCCAUCUCGGUCUCUUAGAUGCGGAACUGCUCUCCAACACAUUAAACGACGACACGAUUCGAUCAUACCGGCCAUUCAUGUAGGCAUCCAUGGUAGAGCUAGCAGUGCCGGAACUGCACCAGUUGCCAAGUUCCAUGGUAGCUAGCUAGACAGAUCUUGGAAGUUCAAAUUUUGGGUUUGUCAAGUGCCAGCAGCUGUAGCUCUCUGGUUCUUAUAUAGAGCAAUAUAAUAGCAAGUCUGAAUGUCAAAGUUGCACAUAUACAAGUUGAUUAAUUUUAAGACCUGACCACAUGGAAUAAUUGAGGGGUAAAGUUGUCAUUUUUAUAGGGUAUACAUGGCAUAGCCAGUAUUUAAUCCUGAAAUUAAGUAGCAUGUAUACAUGUUAGUUGGACUUUGUUACAACAAUUUGAAUGUUUCAUGGCUGAGUUGACUGGCAAUUGAUCGAUG
rnacentral:misc_RNA from 1 species